UCAGGACGAACGCUGGCGGCGUGCUUAACACAUGCAAGUCGAGCGGAAAGGCCCUUCGGGGUACUCGAGCGGCGAACGGGUGAGUAACACGUGAGUAACCUGCCCCUAGCUCUGGGAUAAGCCCGGGAAACUGGGUCUAAUACCGGAUAUCACACACUUUUGCAUGAUGGUGUGUUGAAAGUUUUUCGGCUGGGGAUGGGCUCGCGGCCUAUCAGCUUGUUGGUGGGGUGAUGGCCUACCAAGGCGACGACGGGUAGCCGGCCUGAGAGGGCGACCGGCCACACUGGGACUGAGACACGGCCCAGACUCCUACGGGAGGCAGCAGUGGGGAAUAUUGCGCAAUGGGCGGAAGCCUGACGCAGCGACGCCGCGUGGGGGAUGAAGGCCUUCGGGUUGUAAACCUCUUUCACCACCGACGAAGCUAACGUGACGGUAGGUGGGGAAGAAGCGCCGGCUAACUACGUGCCAGCAGCCGCGGUAAUACGUAGGGCGCAAGCGUUGUCCGGAAUUAUUGGGCGUAAAGAGCUCGUAGGCGGUCUGUCACGUCUGCCGUGAAAACCCGAGGCUUAACCUCGGGCCUGCGGUGGAUACGGGCAGACUAGAGGUAGGUAGGGGAGAACGGAAUUCCCGGUGUAGCGGUGAAAUGCGCAGAUAUCGGGAGGAACACCGGUGGCGAAGGCGGUUCUCUGGGCCUUACCUGAC
rnacentral:rRNA from 1 species